ensembl:lincRNA
AAUGAAGACAAUAAUGAAAAAUUGUUUGGGGAAUGUGAUAAAGAGAUUAUUAAACUCAGAGUUCACCAUAAAAAAAAUGUUUUUAAAUGGUUGUUUGAACAGGGCUCUUUGCAAAAUAAUGGAUGUGACUUAUUUCUGCUCUCUGUGGUCUGCUAUCGUGUCAGAUGUUGGUUAUAUUGUUUCUUUUCGGUGGAACCCUCAGCAACAGAGUUGGGACAGAAAAGGCUUUGCUUUGACGAUAUAUCUACUGUUGAUCUCCUAAGAAAAUUCUUUAAAAUACAGGUUGGCUGUGCAGCGAAAGAGUGGAAAGGGAAGUGGAGUAUAGGGUCUCCCGCUCACAUUUACCUCCGCUACCCGAAGAAGGCAGAAUGCAUUUCUCUCUCUACCUUGUUGCCUUUUCCGGAAUGUCGUCUGAAUGGAAGCCAGUUGAGUUUGGCUUCUUCUAGCAUAACGCCCUUGGGCUGCAUCCCAGUUGUUGGGGGUAUCCGAAGUUGGCUCCUUCUGAUCGCAGAGUCGUACUCUGUGGGAUGGAUGCACCACCGUUUAUCUACUCACCAACCUUCAGAUUCCUUCCAGUGUGGGGCGAUGACAAAUAAAGUUGCUCUAAAAACUGGGACUCCCAGUGUCAGGGCCGAGAGCCACCCCUUGUUCCGUGGACUGUCACAUCCUAUAAGGCUUUCUGGAGUGAAGCAGGCACACUUCUAGGGAACACGUUCACCCGUGGAAAUUGAUCUGCGGGGUGCAUCCCAGCGGCUCCCACGGAGAAUGAACAGGAUCUGUCCUCAAGAUAACAGAACAUCUGAUGUCAUGGAGCUCGGCCUUCGUUCCUCUCCAGGCACCCGUUCUUCCUAGCAUGGUAGGUAACUGGCUCCGUCUCCUAGACCGCUCUCCCAUUUGGGCCGUUUCAGAAUAGAGAGGCUCGCGAUGGUACUCGAGGUGAUGAGGAUGACGAGGGAGAGCGUGGGGAGAUCCGAUUUAGCCAUCCAUUUGAAAAGGCCAGCCUUCUCCGAAUGCACAUAAGCAAUGCGCCGUUAUAUUUGCUGACCAAGAGACUGAAGAGAAGAACACAGUUUGAGUCAGUAUGUUCCGUACCUGGCAGACCAGGUUUCAGACUGAGGUAUCUGCACUGGCAGUGUGGGGCUCAUUGCUGUGUCGGGUCCUGGCCCUUGGGGUUAUGCUGUCAGUCAGGUAAGUGGGGUAAGGAGCCAGCCUUCCCUUGGCUCGUGGAAAGCAUCAUGAUCCUUGAUGUCUCAGGGACUGAUGCAGUAGAAGCCAGGAGCUAAUUUAGUUCAAAAAUUUUUCUUCAUGAGAGUCAUGGAAGGUAUUUAUCUCUGAUCUCCACAAACCAUAACUACAGAGCAGUGUCAUUCUCUUAAAGAUUUUUUUUCUUUCAUUUAUUUGAGAGAGAGGGCGAAUGAGUGGCAGCAGGGGGGGAGGGGAGGAGGGGGGGGAGGGACAAGCAGACUCUGUAUUGAGCGCAGAGCCCAAUGCUGGCUAGAUCCCAUGACCCUGAGACUGUGACCAAGAGUCGAUGCUCAGCCGACUCUGCCACCCAGAUGCCCCAAGGGCAGUGUCAUUUUAUACUCUGUAAAAUAUGCACUUAGUCCCUUGGCCACAUACCGGGGCUAAUGUUUGUCUGAUUUCGACCCUUUUCUCUCAUCAAACACACAACAAAGAUAGAAAGGUUUUUCAAACUAGU